UACGGAGGGUGCAAGCGUUAUCCGGAUUCACUGGGUUUAAAGGGUGCGUAGGCGGGCAGGUAAGUCAGUGGUGAAAUCUCCAAGCUUAACUUGGAAACUGCCGUUGAUACUAUCUGUCUUGAAUAUUGUGGAGGUGAGCGGAAUAUGUCAUGUAGCGGUGAAAUGCUUAGAUAUGACAUAGAACACCAAUUGCGAAGGCAGCUCACUACACAAUCAUUGACUCUGAGGCACGAAAGCGUGGGGAUCAAACAGG
rnacentral:rRNA from 1 species